CCUACGGGUGGCAGCAGUGGGGAAUAUUGGACAAUGGGCGAAAGCCUGAUCCAGCCAUGCCGCGUGUGUGAAGAAGGCCUUCGGGUUGUAAAGCACUUUCAGUGGGGAAGAAAGCCUUGGGGCUAAUACCCUCGAGGAAGGACAUCACCCACAGAAGAAGCACCGGCUAACUCCGUGCCAGCAGCCGCGGUAAUACGGAGGGUGCGAGCGUUAAUCGGAAUUACUGGGCGUAAAGCGCGCGUAGGCGGUCUGAUAAGCCGGUUGUGAAAGCCCCGGGCUCAACCUGGGAACGGCAUCCGGAACUGUCAGGCUAGAGUGCAGGAGAGGAAGGUAGAAUUCCCGGUGUAGCGGUGAAAUGCGUAGAGAUCGGGAGGAAUACCAGUGGCGAAGGCGGCCUUCUGGACUGACACUGACGCUGAGGUGCGAUAGCGUGGGUAGCAAACAGGAUUAGAUACCCUGGUAGUC
rnacentral:rRNA from 1 species